rnacentral:rRNA from 1 species
UACAGAGGGGGCGAGCGUUGUUCGGAAUUACUGGGCGUACAGGGCGCGUCGGCGGCCCGCUAAGUCGAACGUGAAAUCCCCAGGCUCAACCUGGGAACUGCGUCCGAUACUGGCAGGCUUGAAUCCGGGAGAGGGAUGUGGAAUUCCAGGUGUAGCGGUGAAAUGCGUAGAUAUCUGGAGGAACACCGGUGGCGAAGGCGGCAUCCUGGACCGGUAUUGACGCUGAGGCGCGAAAGCUAGGGGAGCAAACGGG